rnacentral:pre_miRNA from 1 species
AGCCUUCUGUAUCCGUGCUGAGGUUUCGUCAUAAACUAGACCACAAGUGCUGAUGUGACUCCCAAGAUAAGUGAAGCA